UAAGGAAUAUUGGACAAUGGGCGAAAGCCUGAUCCAGCCAUCCCGCGUGCAGGACGAAGGCCCUCUGGGUUGUAAACUGCUUUUGCUAAGGAAGAAACGAGUGGAUUUAUCUGCUCCUGACGGUACUUAGAGAAUAAGCACCGGCUAACUCCGUGCCAGCAGCCGCGGUAAUACGGAGGGUGCAAGCGUUAUCCGGAAUCACUGGGUUUAAAGGGUGCGUAGGCGGCUUGGUAAGUCAGAGGUGAAAGCUUCCCGCUCAACGGGAGAACUGCCCCUGAUACUGCCAGGCUUGAAUCGGCACGAGGCAGGCGGAAUGUGACAUGUAGCGGUGAAAUGCUUAGAUAUGUCAUAGAACACCGAUUGCGAAGGCAGCCUGCCAGAGCCGUAUUGACGCUGAGGCACGAAAGCGUGGGGAGCGAACAGG
rnacentral:rRNA from 1 species